UACGUAGGGGGCAAGCGUUGUCCGGAUUUACUGGGUGUAAAGGGCGAGUAGGCGGACCUGCAAGUCAGAUGUGAAAUCCCGGGGCUUAACCCCGGAACUGCAUUUGAAACUGUAGGCCUUGAGUGAUGGAGAGGCAGGCGGAAUUCCCGGUGUAGCGGUGGAAUGCGUAGAUAUCGGGAGGAACACCAGUGGCGAAGGCGGCCUGCUGGACGGUGACUGACGCUGAGGCUCGAAAGCGUGGGGAGCAAACAGG
rnacentral:rRNA from 1 species